CCUGACGCAGCAACGCCGCGUGAGUGAAGAAGGCCUUCGGGUCGUAAAGCUCUGUCAAGUGGGAAGAACCCUUUUCAUGUUAACAGCAUGUAAAGCUGACGGUACCACUGGAGGAAGCACCGGCUAACUCCGUGCCAGCAGCCGCGGUAAUACGGAGGGUGCAAGCGUUAUUCGGAAUUACUGGGCGUAAAGGGCGCGCAGGCGGCCCGUCAAGUCAGUUGUGAAAGCCCGGGGCUCAACCCCGGAAGUGCGACUGAAACUGGCGGGCUUGAGUAUGGGAGAGGGAAGUGGAAUUCCUGGUGUAGCGGUGAAAUGCGUAGAUAUCAGGAGGAACACCGGUGGCGAAGGCGACUUCCUGGCCCAAUACUGACGCUGAGGCGCGAAGGCGUGGGUAGCAAACAGGAUUAGAUACCCUGGUAGUCCACGCAGUAAACGGUGAUCACUAGGUGUUGCGGGUUUUGAUACCUGCAGUGCCGGAGCAAACGCAUUAAGUGAUCCGCCUGGGGAGUACGGCCGCAAGGUUAAAACUCAAAGGAAUUGACGG
rnacentral:rRNA from 1 species